GGGCGGGUAGUUAAACCUGGUAUAACGUCCCGUUGGCUUCGGGAAGGCUUCGGGUUCAAAUCCCGACCCGUCCA
rnacentral:tRNA from 1 species